rnacentral:rRNA from 1 species
CCCUUAGAUGUUCUGGGCCGCACGCGCGCUACACUGAUGCAUUCAACGAGCACCCGCUGGGCCGAGAGGUCCGGCUAAUCUUUGAACGUGCAUCGUGCUGGGGAUAGAUGAUUGCAAUUAUUCAUCUUCAACGAGGAAUUCCUAGUAAACGCAAGUCAUCAGCUUGCAUUGAUUACGUCCCUGCCCUUUGUACACACCGCCCGUCGCACCUACCGAUUGAAUGGUCCGGUGAAAUCUUCGGAUCUGAGAGAUGUCUGAUUAAUUUCGGACGCCUUUUGGAAAAGUUGCUUAAACCUUACCAUUUAGAGGAAGGUGAAGUCGUAACA